rnacentral:rRNA from 1 species
GACGAACGCUGGCGGCGUGCUUAACACAUGCAAGUCGAACGGAAAGGCCCUGCUUUUGUGGGGUGCUCGAGUGGCGAACGGGUGAGUAACACGUGAGUAACCUGCCCUUGACUUUGGGAUAACUUCAGGAAACUGGGGCUAAUACCGGAUAGGAGCUCCUGCUGCAUGGUGGGGGUUGGAAAGUUUCGGCGGUUGGGGAUGGACUCGCGGCUUAUCAGCUUGUUGGGGGGGUAGGGGCUUACCAGGGCUUUGACGGGUAGCCGGCCUGAGAGGGUGACCGGCCACAUUGGGACUGCGAUACGGCCCAGACUCCUACGGGAGGCAGCAGUGGGGAAUCUUGCACAAUGGGCGGACGCCUGUUGCAGCAACGCCGCGUGCGGGAUGACGGCCUUCGGGUUGUAAACCGCUUUCGCCUGUGACGAAGCGUGAGUGACGGUAAUGGGUAAAGAAGCACCGGCUAACUACGUG